GUCUGCACUUGUCGGGGAAGGGUGAGAACCUUCGAUUAAGGUUCGACUCGAGCGAAAGCGAGAGAACGUUGCCAACGGCAACGGCCCGUAGGGUGAGGAGCGAAGCGACGAAUAAUCCUUCCCC
rnacentral:sRNA from 1 species